UGGUUUGUGAAGUCUUAGCCUCAUCAGUCCCUCUCUGCAGUAAAGUCGAGACUUGCUGCAGAGAAUCUCAGAAAAACAUUCAUGUCAUCAAACUCACGGGGGCUCAGAGGGGAUCAACUCUUUCACACAACAGUCCAAGUUUACUGUUUAGCCCACGUAAAGUCUGAGUGACUGCAUAAGUGCUGAAGGGGUACUGGGGCAGCUAAGACUUCACUAACCACGACUGAGGCAUGUUACUCAUUCAUACACUUCUAUAGCCGACUGACACCUUAACCAACUCAGCUGCUGCACGAUCAGCCUCUCCACGGUUAAAUAAAACCAGCUCAGAGCAAAGCAGCUGUCCCUUCAAGAAUCCUUUCAUGUCAAGAACUAAAUGAGGGGCAUGACAUUAUUCACUAAAACAUAUACUAGAUGAUGCUACCAACCUUAAAAAGCAGCACAAUAGCCAUCUAGAAAGUACUAGUUAAAGGGAUAGUCCACCCAAAAAAUUCAAUUCAUGCACUUCCAAACCUCUGUGACUCACUCUGAAGAAUAUUGGGAAACACUGGAAGCCAGUUAAAUUUCAAUGCAAGGACAAAAAAA